rnacentral:lncRNA from 1 species
GACUAUGUUAAUCAGAGAUUUUGUUUUCUUGUUUUAAAGUCACAACCUUAUACUUCAAUAUUGCAAAAACGACUUCCUAAUACAAAGACUUUAUAGUCUUGCACUACAAACAAUUUUUUCUGUUAUUAUUUAAGAAAAUGUGAAGAACUCAGUCCAUUCAUGUUUUGUAUCUUAAGUAAUCAUCCACAAUACAUAAAAUUCAUAGUUAUUAGAGAAUCGGCUUCAUAAUAUACAGGGUUGGAGAUGCUUUGGCAAUAAUGACAACUUAUCCAUUAGCUCUUAUAAAUUAUAUUUAUAAAUUUAUAAUUUAGCUCUUAUAAAAAAUAAAUGGCAGGAAAACCUGGAGAUCAAGAAGGUUUCAGAGGGGUGAUUCAAAUAAAGGAAUGGUUUUGAGUUUACUCAGGUACUCCUGUAUGUACAUCCAUAUAUAAAAUUCAGACUAAAACCAUAAAUGAAAAAGAAGUCUCAAUAUAGGAAGAAGGGAAAAGAGGUGAUGUGGUUAUCUUAGCAUAUUUUUAAAUGCUGAAUUAUAAAACCAUAGUAAAUCAUUAAAUUGGUUCUUGCUUAAAUCUAUCUGUAAGCUCUAUAGAAGUUCUAUAGAAAAAUACUACUAUGGAUUCUAAAGUGAAUUUAAUGAUUUAAUAAGAGUAGGGCCAAGGGGGCUAAAGGCUCAAAUAUUCUGAGUAUUUUUAAGCGCUCUAGACAAAAAAGUUUCAAUUGGUUCUCUAUGCUAAAAAGAGGAAUAACUCAGCCCACAGACAAGUAAGAUUUUUACACCAACAGAAAGAUAAUCUACCCUAGUUAUCCAGUACAUAUCAUAAGUAUAUUUAAGCUUGUCAUAUUUUCAAGGGUAGUUUGUGUUUUUACAUUCCUGAAAAUAAUCUAAAAAUAUGUUGGGGGGAUAAUUUAAGCUUUCAAAUAUGUCUUUGUAAUUUGCCAUUGUGUAUUUAAAAUGAAAAACUGGGAUCCCUGGGUGGCGCAGAGGUUUGGUGCCUGCCUUUGGCCCAGGGCGCAAUCCCAGAGACCCGGGAUCAAAUCCCACAUCGGGCUCCCGGUGCAUGGAGCCUGCUUCUCCCUCUGCCUGUGUCUCUGCCCCUCUCUCUCUCUCUCUCUCUGUGACUAUCAUAAAUAAAAAAAAAUUUUUUUUAAAAAAAUGAAAAACUGGAAGCAACAAAUAUUUUGCAUGUCACAUCCAAGUUUUCCCCCAAAAUAAUAAAGUGUGACACUGAGAAAUUCCAGUAACUUUUCUUCUAUAAAUCUAUGUAUUUUGUAUAAUAUUUUUAGGUUUUGUUUUAUUUUUAUGCUAGAAACUACUCUUUUGUUAUAUGGCAUUCAGUCUGUCAGGAUAUCCCUAUGUACACAGAUGCUUCAUAAAUAUUAGAAAAUCAAAGACAAACAUAGCUAGAUGGCCAUAUAUACUAAAUUUGAAGGAACAUCAUGCAAAGUGUAUAUAUCGUUAUUAUUUGGGGUUUCUACAAACUAUAGCUAAGCAUGAAUAUUUUCAACUUAAAAUCUUUGUAUGCAACUUAUUAAAUAUGGCAUUCUUUAGCUACUAAAAUCACAUAACCAUAAUCAACAGGAUAGUGGUGACAACACAAGUUUUAAGAAGAGACAUGGACUGUGUCAAGGUAGAUUUUGUCCUCCAUCUUUUAUUUUCUAACAAAGAUGACCAUUAUAACAAAGGAAAAUGUGUUGAAUGAAAAAAAAAGUAUAGAUUUCAGGUCAAAAAUCCCCAAAUUUAGAUCCUAAUGUUUAAUCUCUUUUGAAUCACAAUUUAUUGAAUUUGUUUUUUUAGCUCUAACUUAAUUACACAAUGUGAUUUUUUUCACCUGUUUAAAUUUACUUCUCCUGAAAGGAUAAAGCCAACAAAGGAAAAGGCUUUCCAAACAUACAGAGUUCCAGGAGAGAAAGUAGUGGGUAGAUUUGAAUUGAGGGUUAAGGCUCAAAGAAUAAGUUAAAAAUAUCAUUCAAUCAAAACUACUUUUAUUCAUGACGAGGUACUAUGUUGGGGACAGACAUACUUUACCUUCUUUCAACAGUCCCAAUAGAGACAGAUUUCUCCAUUUGUUUUAUUUUCCUUAGGACUGGAAUAGAUCACUGUUUCUUCACAGAGUACUAUAUCUAGGUAACUUUUGAUGUGCAUUUAAGGGGCACAGUGUAUAAAAUUACUUAUAUGUAAACUUUAGAAUCACACUGGGCAUGGCAAGAUGUUCACAUGAAAGAAGCACAGGGGAUUUAGUAGAACAGAAUCUCACUCCUCAUCUCAGCCUGACUUUAGCAAAUAAGAUCACUAAAGAACUGGAAGGUAGAAAUGACUCUCUGUUCUUUAUUCUUUACCUUUUCUCUCCAUCUCUUUCUUUCCUUGUUCCUUUAUUAACUGGAGAGAGUAAAUUUGAAAAGAUAAAUUUGAAUUUAAUGCACAUCAUUAAGGUUACUUUUAUUGGGUCUGCGAGGUAGUGGAAAACACAGUAAGAAUAGAUAUGAGAAAGGUAAAUUGGGGACAGAUCAUAAACACUGAAUAUCAAGAUUGGACUCUAUUUUAUAGAUAAUGGGGAAUAUUUUUAUCCACAUGAGAGACUAAACAGAGCUGUGUUUCAGUACGGUGAAUCUUUAGAAUCAAAUGAGGAAGUAUAGAUGAAAGAAAAUGCCAGACUGAACCAAGCUUGACAUUGAGGAGGAAAAAAGACAUGAUGGAUAUAUUGUUACCUAUACUUAAAACAACUGUUUUAAAUCCCCAGAAGUCUUUUCUCCAUCAUAAAAUAAUAAUAUUAAACUAAAUAACUACUGUAGCAUCUCUCCAAAUUGAGUAUUUAGAAAUGUGCUUAAGUCACAAGGUGAAAAACAUACAAUAUACUAAACAUUGUAUUAUAACUUCCUUAUCCCCAAAGGAUAAAUGGUUUGAAAAAUGUCUACAGUACAAAGUUAAAUUGCACCAUUAUUCAUAGAGUAUUUUGUGGGCUAUGAAAAUAAUGUAUUUGAGGAAGAUCAACACACUCACAAAAAUACACACACAGAGAAGUUACAAGACUUGUUAUUGUCAUGGCAAUGGCCUAGAUUCACUACGGAAUUGUCUCUUAAAAAUAGUAACAAUAGAAUUUUCUUCUUUAACUUUGUUGAAAUAACUAAUAGGUCCCUUCAAUUACCAGGAAACCAAGAUUCAUAGGAUCAGAUUUUGCAUAAUUUUUCUUUUUAUCUGCAGCUUCCAAAACAAAAUGUAAUACACUAUCUAUUGAUUUGGUUUAGUUCUUAAGCAAGGCCUGAAUUAUAACUACUUAACCGUUCUCCAAGGAUUCAGCCAGAUUAAGAGAGAUCCAAGAGUGGCUAUGUUGUCAAAAAGUGCUAGACGGUUCUUUUGAAAUAAUCUAACUCAGGCUAACAUUUAAGAGUUUUGAAAAUGGAAAUUCUAUCAUCAUCACUCAAAGAUUCCAGUAACAGCCCUUCCCCAUCUGACAUGCCAGCACUUAGUGGUCCCUGAAAAUAGAAAGAAGAGAAACAAAAUAGAAUAAAGAGAACAAGUGCAGUAACUAUGAUGAUAUUAUCAUGGAACUUUCCAAUGUAUUGGCCUGCUAUUUAUUGGACACUGUACUAGGCUCUUUAUAAAUAUCUUGACAACCACCAGAGAGAAUUAUUUCCAUUUUAUAGAAGAUGGUUCAGCAGAUCAAAAAGCUCAAGUUAUAAUGCUAGGUGGGGUUACAGCACUGGAGUUCAAAUCCAGGACUGUCUGAUUUCCAAACUUAAUUUAGUUGAAUUCUGCAAUGUUCUCCACACAACACAAGGUUAAGGAGUAACACUGAAAUAUUAUAGCAUCACAUCUAAGCAAAGCUCCGGCUCUUAGAUGGCUAGAACGUAAAGUUGCCUAGUCUGUUAUAAAUAUUCCAUUCAUCAGUGAUCAUUAAGAAGCGAUCAUAUAACUGGAAAUAUGCAAUAC